GUCUACGGCCAUACCACCCUGAACGCGCCCGAUCUCGUCUGAUCUCGGAAGCUAAGCAGGGUUGGGCCUGGUUAGUACUUGGAUGGGAGACCGCCUGGGAAUGCCGGGUGCUGUAGGCU
rfam:Myotis davidii contig147220, whole genome shotgun sequence.